GAUCAUGGCUCAGAUUGAACGCUGGCGGCAUGCCUUACACAUGCAAGUCGAACGGCAGCAUGAUCUAGCUUGCUAGAUUGAUGGCGAGUGGCGAACGGGUGAGUAAUACAUCGGAACGUGCCCUGUAGUGGGGGAUAACUAGUCGAAAGAUUAGCUAAUACCGCAUACGACCUGAGGGUGAAAGUGGGGGACCGCAAGGCCUCAUGCUAUAGGAGCGGCCG
rnacentral:rRNA from 1 species